UACGUAGGGCGCAAGCGUUGUCCGGAAUUAUUGGGCGUAAAGAGCUCGUAGGCGGUUUGUCGCGUCGACUGUGAAAUCCCGCGGCUCAACUGCGGGCUUGCAGCCGAUACGGGCAGGCUAGAGUUCGGUAGGGGAGACUGGAAUUCCUGGUGUAGCGGUGAAAUGCGCAGAUAUCAGGAGGAACACCGGUGGCGAAGGCGGCAUCCUGGGUCGGUAUUGACGCUGAGGAGCGAAAGCCAGGGGAGCAAACGGG
rnacentral:rRNA from 1 species